GCGCAGCAGGCGAGAAACUUUACAAUGUGCGAAAGCACGAUAAGGGAACUCUGAGUGCCUCCUAAGGAGGCUGUUCUGAUGUCUAAAAGCAACAGAAGUAAGGGCUGGGUAAGACCGGUGCCAGCCGCCGCGGUAACACCGGCAGCCCAAGUGGUAGCCACGUUUAUUGGGUCUAAAGCGUUCGUAGCCGGCCAGGUAAGUUCCUUGGUAAAUUUAGCCGCUUAACGGUUAAGCUUUCGGGGAAUACUGCUUGGCUUGGGACUGGGAGAGGUCAGAGGUACUCCGGGGGUAGGGGUGAGAUCUAUUAAUCCCUGGGGGAUCACCGGUAGCGAAGGCGUCUGACCAGACCAGGUCCGACGGUGAGGGACGAAGGCUAGGGGCGCGAACCGGAUUAGAUACCCGUGUAGU
rnacentral:rRNA from 1 species